UCCGACAGGAAAAAAAUCCUUCAGUAACCCGCUGAUUAAUUGUGCAGAAAUCUGCUAGGUUUAUAGGUUAUAGGUUUAUUAAAUUGCAGUGAGAAAUUGUAUAUUUGGAAUAUUUGGAAGCUGCCUUGUUUCAGCACAAAAGGGUCUUAUUCACUUCAUUAAUAUUUAAUCGAAGAAUCAUACUGAGCUAUUUCCAGAAUCUGAGUGGAGGGAACAUGGUACUGCCUUCCCAGUGGAAUUCUGAUUAAUAUACCAUCUCUGUGGUCCCUGAGGAUCACCAGCUUCCUUAUCCCCCAACUAUAUAUAUUUAUUCUGUGGAGAGGGAGGCAGAAAGUUGGAGAAAGCCCUUUGUAGCUCAACACAUGAUCUUCAGAAUAGUCAACAGACCUUUCCUGAUGGUCACCCAGUGGCCUUGCUGUUUCUCCAUGUGAAUGUGUUAUUGAAUGUUGUACAAAGCUGCCUGAAAAAGAUAUUAAAAGAAGCCUGCCAUGUAAGUUUACAGAAUAAUAGUGGAUUAGCUAUCUAUUUCUAUCAAACAAUUUACCAUGACAUGAGUGGCCUACUGCUCGUUUAUUAAACAAAAAG
rnacentral:lncRNA from 1 species